rnacentral:ncRNA from 2 species
UACGUGCUCCGGGGUCGGUGUAAUUCCGAACCGGCGGUGAUAGUCCGCGACCCGCCCGUUUCCUCGCAUCCGCGAGGAGGGGACGGUUGAGCCGGUGGAAUUCCGGGACCGACAGUCAAAGUCUGGAUGGGAGAAGCACGAA